CCCACUUCCCCAGGGUCUGCCUCGACAACCAGUGAGUAUCCUUUUUCGUCUCUCCCAGGUCCGUGUGUCCAGGAGUCCGCCUGUGUUCCCUCAGGUAUCCUCCCUUCCCCAGGGUCUGCCUCGACAACCUAUGAGUAUCCUUUUUCGUCUCUCCCAGGUCCGUGUGUCCAGGAGUCCGCCUGUGUCCCCUCAGGCAUCCUCCCUUCCCCAGGGUCUGCCUCGACAACCAGUGAGUAUCCUUUUUCGUCUCUCCCAUGUCCGCGUGUCCAGGACUCCGUCUGUGUCCCCUCAGGCAUCCUCCCUUCCCCACUUCCCCAGAGUCUGCCUCGACGGCCGGUGAGUAUCAUUUUUCGUCUCUCCCAGGUCCAGGACUCCGCCUGUGUCCCCUCAGGCAUCCUCCCUUCCCCACUUCCCCAGAGUCUGCCUCGACGGCCGGUGAGUAUCCUUUUUCGUCUCUCCCAGGUCCGCGUGUCCAGGACUCCGCCUGUGUCCCCUCAGGCAUCCUCCCUUCCCCACUUCCCCAGGGUCUGCCUCGACGGCCGGUGAGUAUC